ACUUUCUCUAUCUGAACUCUCAAAAUAAUACUACAAGGAGCCUCCUGUCAGGAUCCUUGACUACCUAUGGGAACAACAACAACAACAACAACAACAACAAAAGCCUUACAAAGAGUAAAGAUGAAACAGAAAUGAGAUCUAUGAGAAGCCUGGAGUCUACUCAACGGCAUCUUUAUAAACAUUCAUGGAAGGGUUGGGGAUGCAACUCAGUUGGCAGAUUACUUGCCUAUUAUGCAUGGAAACCUGGGUUGUCACUCCAACACAGCAUAAAACCAGAUACGAUGGCACAUGCCUAUGCCAUGGAGGUGGAGGCGAGAGGGUCAGAAAUAUAAGGUGUCAAACAGCAUUUCAUAGACACUCUAAAACCCAUGCCUUUGGUGUGCAAUGUUCUCAAGAAAUAGCAGAGACAAUACAGAAUUCCAUGGCAUAUACAGAACUUACAAAAUGUGCAUUGCCCAGAGAGGGUGGUGAGACAGAUCACACCACUGGCUGAUAGGCGUGGGUAUGAGGAUCGUUUUUUAGUCAUGUGGACAGCUCUGGCCCAAAUUCUUCAUUUCACUGAAGCCUUUGACAAUUCCGUUAAAUUUCAACCACAUUUUAUUUGACUGAACUAUUCCCUGAUAACUUAAGAGGACCAGGGCUGUCAGCCCUCUCAGCCUUUGCUGAUAAUAUCCUGGAACGGAGUUAGUUUUCAAAACCAGGGCAAAGGGAAACCUCAAUGUCUUGAGCAAGAACAGCAAUGCUGAUUCAAAGAGGGAAGCAAACCUUUAUUUACAGAGAUGUAUGCCCUGGCAGGAAGAGCCAACAUUCAAUGGUGAACUUUAUCCUACAUGGCAGAGCUUACCAAUUUUCACCUAUGCCCACAGGAACAGCCAGGAUGUGAUGACUAACUUUAUUGUCCAAUAUUACCCAGGCUCACUCACAUCUAAGCACCUGUUUGGCAGACGAGAUGCUGACAAUUACCCCAUCUUAGCAGAGAGACUCGGCUUUGAGGGAAAGUAUGUUGGCUGAGUUCACACCCUCCUGAGGCAGCAGAGAAGACAGACCUUCUGAGAGCUUUCUCCAGAGGCCUCUACUCCCUAACAAGCCUUCAUUCCAUAGUUUCGUCCUGAACAGAGGGUAACUGUUUGUAUUUGAAUGAAGGACACUUACCUGGGAUUUGGAGAUGUCCCUUUUGUCUUAGUUAGGGUUACUAUCGCUAUGAUGAAACACCAUGACCAAAAGCAACUUGGGGAAGAAAAGGUUUAUUUGGCUUACACUUCCACACUGUUGUCCAUCAUUGAAGGAAGUCAGGACAGGAACUCAAACAGGCCCAGAACCUGGAGUCAGGAGCUGCACUAGGCAUAGCAUGUCUACUCCACGACCAUCAUAGAGUAGACUACUGAAGCCUGCUAGUCUUGCCAGUGAAGCAAGAACUACACAGAGAGAGUUAGAUCUAUGGCAAUGUUAAUGUGACCACAACACUCUAUAUGAGGGUAUGGGACCCUCACCUAGGACUCCAGCCAAUACACCCUUCUUCUUCUUACAUGAUCUUGGAGACACUAGAAUGUACAUACAGGAAGUAGAAGGUAACUCAAAGUGAGACUUUGUGAUGCAAUUUCCAUGAAGUCAUUAUCAGUGAUGGGGUGAGACUUUGUGGUGAUGCGAAUGUUUGGAGGUCACUCAAGUGUGGUCCCUCACCUAUGGCCUGUAAAUAAUCCCAAUAAACUCACUUGUUCACCAACCUGGACUUCACUGUUUUCCAAGUUUUACUCUGGUCUGUUGUUGGUGCCCUAUCUAGGGUGAAGAAACAUUUGUUCACAUUUCCCAAAGAAAAGUGAAUUCAGUAAGAAAUUUUUGUUGAAUUGUAAAUAUUAAGCCUGGAAGCUUUGAAGUCUUUCUUGUUAGAGCCAAUGCGGUUAUGAAGGGGCAGAGCUUAUGUCCAACUCUCUGAGAUGACUCUUUCUCUCAAAAUUUCUAAAGGCUCGAAGAGAAUGUUCUCACUCUAUG
rnacentral:lncRNA from 1 species